rnacentral:rRNA from 1 species
UACAGAGGGUGCGAGCGUUAAUCGGAGUUACUGGGCGUAAAGGGCGCGUAGGCGGUAUUAUGUGUGUGAUGUGAAAGCCCACGGCUCAACCGUGGAAGUGCAUCCGAAACUGCAUGGCUCGAGUCUCGGAGAGGAAGGUGGAAUGCUUGGUGUAGAGGUGAAAUUCGUAGAUAUCAAGCAGAACACCUGCGGCGAAGGCGGCCUUCUGGACGAUGACUGACGCUGAGACGCGAAAGCGUGGGGAGCGAACAGG